CGUGGCCUGGAUGUCGGUGCGCAUGCGCGAGUGCCUAGCUGUGCGCGCGGCCACCCCCGCAACCCCGGGCUGAGGUGCGGGGUCCUGGGGCCAGGCGCGGGUGGCCGCCGCGGCCCCUUAGGCUGCGUGGGGAGGGGGCGGCCCCCCCGUUGUCAUUGCUCCUGCAGCCUCAGGAGCCUCUUCGCUGGGAGUGCGCGACACCGCCCCCAAACUGGGUGCCCGCUGUGUGCCAGGCCCGGUGCUGGGCACGGUCCCGUCUCUUAGCCCAUUCGGGCCUCCCCAGCCCCGCGAGGGUAACGUCUGAUAAAUCAGUGAUCCUUCAUCAGUAGGAGAUGGAAGGCCCUGAAGGUCCCCAGGAGCCCAGAUUCCCCAUAAUCGUGUUCUCGCCCUAUAAGGACUGCCAGGCAAUAAUGAAGGUUCUUUUACUGAAGGAUGCUAAAGACGACGACUGUGGCCAGGAUCCGUAUAUCAGGGAAUUAGGAUUAUAUGGACUUGAAGCCACUUUGAUCCCUGUUUUAUCAUUUGAAUUUUUGUCUCUUCCCAGUUUCUCUGAGAAGCUUUCUCAUCCUGAAGAUUACGGGGGACUCAUUUUUACCAGCCCCAGAGCAGUGGAAGCAGCACAGUUAUGUUUGGAGAAAAACAAUAAAACUGAAGUCUGGGAAAGGUCUCUGAAAGAAAAAUGGAAUGCCAAGUCAGUGUAUGUGGUUGGAAAUGCUACUGCUUCUCUAGUGAGUAAAAUUGGCCUGGAUACAGAAGGAGAAACCUGUGGAAAUGCAGAAAAGCUUGCAGAAUAUAUUUGUUCCAGGGAGUCCUCAGCACUGCCUCUUCUAUUUCCCUGUGGAAACCUCAAAAGAGAAAUCCUGCCGAAAGCGCUCAAGGACAAAGGGAUUGCCAUGGAAAGCGUAACUGUGUAUCAGACAAUUCCACACCCAGGAAUCCAAGGGAACCUGAACAGCUACUAUUCACAGCAGGGGGUUCCAGCCAGCAUCACAUUUUUCAGUCCCUCUGGCCUCACAUACAGUCUCAAGCAUAUUCAGGAGUUAUCUGGUGACAAUAUCGAUCAAAUUAAGAAAUACCCUUGAACUGGCUCCAGAGGGACUGAGGAGAGGGUGCAGGAUGUGACCCAGAACCCAAAGGCAGAAACUGCCACUCACUGCAGUCAGGAAGAGCAAAAGGCUUCACCUGCCUUCUCACAGGUGCAUCUCAUGGGGAGUAUGCACUGCUUUCCCAGUUUUCAAGAUGGAGCGUGGGACUCAGAGACAUCAGAUGGGCUGCCUGUAGGUCACGCUGCUGAGAAGGAAGAGCUGCAGUUUGAACCUGGGAAGACUGAUUCCACAUUGUCAGCCAUGGUGAUGCCUUGCCAUGGUCUCGGGAGCUGCUGAGCAGUAACUGAUAGAAUUCCCACACCAGUCCAAUGCUCCUGGACUCAGGAGAGUUGCUGAAGAAGUUUGUGCAGGGGAGGAAUAAAGGAUCACACAGGAAUUUGAGAGCCAAAGUAGAGUGCAACUGGCCCCCCAGGCCCAGGUGGGCUAGUGGUAAGAACUGAAGAUGUUCCCUCUGGACCUUCCAGCCACAGCUCAUUG